rnacentral:rRNA from 1 species
AUUGAACGCUGGCGGCAGGCCUAACACAUGCAAGUCGAGCGGAUGAAGGGAGCUUGCUCCUGGAUUCAGCGGCGGACGGGUGAGUAAUGCCUAGGAAUCUGCCUGGUAGUGGGGGAUAACGUCCGGAAACGGGCGCUAAUACCGCAUACGUCCUGAGGGAGAAAGUGGGGGAUCUUCGGACCUCACGCUAUCAGAUGAGCCUAGGUCGGAUUAGCUAGUUGGUGGGGUAAAGGCCUACCAAGGCGACGAUCCGUAACUGGUCUGAGAGGAUGAUCAGUCACACUGGAACUGAGACACGGUCCAGACUACUACGGGAGGCAGCAGUGGGGAAUAUUGGACAAUGGGCGAAAGCCUGAUCCAGCCAUGCCGCGUGUGUGAAGAAGGUCUUCGGAUUGUAAAGCUCUUUAAGUUGGGAGGAAGGGCAGUAAGUUAAUACCUUGCUGUUUUGACGUUACCAACAGAAUAAGCACCGGCUAACUUCGUG